rnacentral:hammerhead_ribozyme from 1 species
AUCCAGCCGACGAGUCCCAAAUAGAACGAAACGCACGUCCUGGAU